GAGGGUAUAGCUCAGUGAUAGAGCACAUGCUUAGCAUGCACAAGGUCCUGGGUUCAAUCCCCAGUAUCGCCU
rnacentral:tRNA from 1 species